AGCUCCCUGGCGUAGUGGUCACUGCACUCGCCUUGCACGCGGGAGACCCGGGUUCGAUUCCCGGCGGGGUCA
rfam:Asian citrus Psyllid, Diaphorina citri - Florida Strain, whole genome shotgun sequence.